AUGUCUUUCAAUGCAGGCCUAACAUCUUCGUCGCAGAACUUGGCAUACUCCAAAGUAUCGCCGGCCGACUUGGAAAAUUCCACGACGGCGACCUCUGGAGCUACCUCGAACACCUCGGCUGUGACGGGAAGGAAAGGGCGGCUAUCUCAUUUUGAAAUCUUUGACCUUUGCUACCUUAUAAUUCAACCCGUUUGCAAUCCCUUCAAUCUUGUUCAUGAUUGCAUUCGCCGAGAAUUUGGAGGGUGAACAUAGACCCUGUUUUCCUCUUGUUCUCGAAUAGACUCGACAAAUCAAACCCAGAAGACAUCGAGGAAAUGAACUCGAAAGCGUUAAAGAAUUUUGGGGAGGAAACUUUAGUCAUCACUGCAGAUAAAGAUUCGUCUUCCUCCUCUGUUUUAUCUGGGUUUGAUAUUUCUCUGACGGAGAAAGCUAAUGGUCUUGUAAAUCCCUUUCGAAACCAAGGAACUCGCAUUAUCGCUGGUAUGGUGAUUCUUCUUUCUGGGUCAGCAACCAGAAGUCUGGAAAUCAAGCGCUUAGCUUCGGUGGAAAACCAUGGUGGACAUUCAAAUUCUGCUUUGAAAAUUUUUCUAUACAUCUUCAUGACAUUCUCAUCUUGAAAUGGCAAGAAUCCAGCCAGGAGAACAUAAAGGAUUACCCCACAUGACCAUAUGUCGGCUUUGGAUCCGUCGUAUCCCUUCUUUCUCAGAACCUCCGGCGCCACAUACGCUGGAGUCCCGCACUGCGUAUGGAGGAGCCCAUCGUUGAGUAAUUGUUCCGGCAAGGCUGAUAGCCCAAAAUCAGAGAUUUUGAGAUCUCCAUUUUCAUCUAAUAACAGAUUCUCUGGCUUCAAGUCUCGGUGAGAAACGCCUCUGCUAUGGCAGAAAUCGACCGCACUGAUUAGCUGUUGAAAGUACUUGCGAGCGGCAUCUUCUUUGAGCUUCCCUUUUGCUACCUUAGCGAAGAGCUCGCCGCCGCGGACAUACUCCAUAACAAAGAAGAUCUUGGUUUUUGUAGCCAACACUUCUUUGAGCUCCACUAUAUUUGGGUGUCGAACUAGUCGCAUAACGGAGAUUUCUCGCUUGAUCUGCUCCAUCAUCCCUUCCUUUUUGACUUGAUCUUUAUUGAUUACUUUGAUUGCUACGCUUUCUCCAGUUGCCAUGUUCUUGCCAUAGUAGACCUUGGCAAAAGUCCCCUUCCCCAACAACCUGCCCAUCUCGUACUUGUCAAACAGAACAUGUCUCUCUUCCAUAACUCAAAAAAUAAAAAUAAAAAUUUCUUCUUUCUUUCUUUCUUCAAUUUCAACUCAAAAGGUAAUAUGCAGGAAUAUCAGAAUAAAGCGAUUCUUGCAUCAAUUUGGAAGCUGGGAGGCUCUAUUUACAGGAGUAGAUGAACAGUGUAAAGGGAUCCAGGAAAGAACAGCUGAUAUACUGAUUUGAAUGGAUUCCAUUA
rnacentral:misc_RNA from 1 species